AAAAGGUUAUUAAAAGGGCACUGCCUGCCCAGUGACUAGAGUUAAACGGCCGCGGUAUCCUGACCGUGCAAAGGUAGCAUAAUCACUUGUUCCUUAAUUAGGGACUAGAAUGAAUGGCCAAACGAGGGCUUAACUGUCUCUUAUUUCUAAUCAGUGAAAUUGACCUCCCCGUGAAGAGGCGGGGAUACUAAUAUAAGACGAGAAGACCCUAUGGAGCUUUAAUCUAUUAACUUAUUUACAUACUAAUAACAAUCUAAUGAAUCUAAAACAUAGUAAAGUAAGUUAAAGAUUUAGGUUGGGGUGACCUCGGAGAAUAAAAAAACCUCCGAAAGAUUUUAACCUAAACCAACAAGUUGAAGUAAUAUAUUUUUAUCCAAUUGAUCCAAUUAUUUGACCAACGGACCAAGUUACCCUAGGGAUAACAGCGCAAUCCUAUUCAAGAGUCCAUAUCGACAAUUAGGGUUUACGACCUCGAUGUUGGAUCAGGACAUCCUAAUGGUGCAGAAGCUAUUAAAGGUUCGUUUGUUCAACGAUUAAAGUCCUACGUGAUCUGAGUUCAGACCAG
rnacentral:rRNA from 1 species